rnacentral:rRNA from 1 species
UGAAGGAAGACGGCUACGGGUUGUAAACUUCUUUUAUACGGGAAUAAAGUGCCCCACGUGUGGGGUUUUGCAUGUACCGUAUGAAUAAGGAUCGGCUAACUCCGUGCCAGCAGCCGCGGUAAUACGGAGGAUCCGAGCGYYAUCCGGAUUUAUUGGGUUUAAAGGGUGCUCAGGCGGGGUGUUAAGUCGGCGGUGAAAUUUUGCGGCUCAACCGUAAAGCGCCUUCSMMACUGGUACCCUUGAGUGUSGAUGAGGUAGGCGGAAUUUGUGGUGUAGCGGUGAAAUGCUAGAUAUCACGAGGAACCCCGAUUGCGCAGGCHGCUUMCCAAGCCNUSACUGACGCUCAAGCACGAAGGCGUGGGGHUCAAAUCAGGAUU